GGAACGUUCUCGCGCAGUUGGUGCCACUGCCCUUUCAUGGUGGCGAAGAAGUUGUAGACCACGGUCCACACUGGGAUCAGCAGCAUCAAUGAGAACGCAAUCGCGAUGGUUUGCAGCCAUUGCGAAAUCGGCCCGUGCAACAUGUGGUGGGCGCCGGUCCAGACGUAGACAAACGCGAGCGACCAGAACCCGAUCAUCGACAGUUUGUGGCUGUAGAGCGGCGUGUUCGACGCCUUGGGGAUGAAGUAGUAGGCCAUCGCGAGACCGAUAGCGCACAAGUA
rnacentral:rRNA from 1 species